rnacentral:rRNA from 1 species
GGAACGGCAACAGCUCAAAUUUGAAAUCUGGCCCUUUUAGGGUUCGAGUUGUAAUUUGUAGAGAGUGUUUCGGGCGCGAUCACGGUCUAAGUCCAUUGGAACAUGGCGUCAUAGAGGGUGAGAAUCCCGUAUGUGACUGUGGAUCAAGCCCACGUGAAACCUCUUCGACGAGUCGAGUUGUUUGGGAAUGCAGCUCAAAAUGGGUGGUAAAUUUCAUCUAAAGCUAAAUAUUGGCUGGAGACCGAUAGCGCACAAGUAGAGUGAUCGAAAGAUGAAAAGCACUUUGGAAAGAGAGUCAAACAGUACGUGAAAUUGUUGAAAGGGAAGCGCUUGCAACCAGACCUGCCCGUAGGUGAUCAGCCGCUGUUCUCAGUGGUGCACUCGCUCUGCGAUCAGGCCAGCAUCGGUCUCGACGGUCGGAUAAAGGCCCUGGGAAUGUAGCUUCCUCCGGGGAGUCUUAUAGCCCUCGGUGCAAUGCGACCAGCCGGGACCGAGGACCGCGCUUCGGCUAGGAUGCUGGCGUAAUGGUUGUAAGCGACCCGU